UCCCGGCUCUCUGCUCCAGACCAGAUUCAUAAGAGCCACAGAACCUCGGCACUGGUUUGGCACGAGACUUCCCGAGCAGGACAUGUUACCCACAAAAUUUAGCCAGUAUCCAGGCUUUGCUUCUUGUGAGAUUUAACGAAGAUGAUGGUCUUAAAAUGGUUUUACCACAAGAAAGCUCCCCCCUACAAGGAAUAUACCUGUUGUCUCCCCCCCCCCACCCCCACCCCCACCCCGAGGCCUCACACUGCCUGUCUGAGGAGUAAAAUGAUAGAUCCAGCAGCUUGACCACAGAUCAUGGCGAGACAAUCCAGACUCGUCAAGAGAAGCAUGGAUCCUAAACAUGUCCUCACCUGAUGAAAGGUCUUGAGAUGGCCAGGACGGUCCGGAUGAACCACGUCGGGUGAGCGAUGAUGAGACACUUGAGAUUCUUCCUCAGUCUGCAGGAGGCAUUUAAAUCAGCUUGUGAUUGGACGGCCAAGGGGUGAUAUCAAAUGACAUUUGAGGCACUAUGAGGUCAUUGCAGCUCGUUGCCGUUGUUGAUGAACUCCAGCGAGUCCGUCUCGUCGGGGGUCUCGAUGUCGUCCACGUUGAUGUCCAGGUCAUCGGGCGUUUCCAUGAAGUCGUCAGAGAGCACCGACCCCUCGCUCUGAUCCAGGGACAGGC